CAGGAUGAACGCUAGCGGCAGGCUUAACACAUGCAAGUCGAGGGGCAGCGGGAUGUAGCAAUACAUUGCCGGCGACCGGCGGAUGGGUGCGUAACGCGUAUGCAACCUACCUUAUACAGGGGAAUAACCUUUCGAAAGGGAGACUAACACCCCAUAGUAUUGAUUUAAGGCAUCUUAGAUUAAUUAAAUAUUUAUAGGUAUAAGAUGGGCAUGCGUAUGAUUAGCUAGUUGGUAAGGUAACGGCUUACCAAGGCGACGAUCAUUAGGGGUUCUGAGAGGAAGGUCCCCCACACUGGUACUGAGACACGGACCAGACUCCUACGGGAGGCAGCAGUGAGGAAUAUUGGUCAAUGGGCGCAAGCCUGAACCAGCCAUGCCGCGUGCAGGAAAGACGGCCUUAUGGGUUGUAAACUGCUUUUACAUAAGACUAACCGUAUAUUUGCGAAUAUACCUGAAUGUAUUAUGAGAAUAAGGAUCGGCUAACUCCGUGCCAGCAGCGGC
rnacentral:rRNA from 1 species